AUAAGAAAAGAUAAGGAAAAAUGGAAAAUAAUAAUCCCACCUUUGCUUAGUCUUCUAAAAACAAUCCCACCUUUGAUUAUUGCAGAAAUAAUCCCACUUAUAACACCAAUCUUCUUUUAACAAGUCUUGACCGAUUUUGUUAGGUUGGCAACUGGUUAGAGAAAGUAACUUGACAGGUGUUGCUAUCUAAUGGUUUGUUUUGAUAAUUAAAAAAACAAAAAAACUCCCACCCUUCCCUUCCUUCUACCCUCAUCGGAGCUAGCCUCAGCACAUGGCAGCCGGCCUGACGAGCCCCACCCUCUUCCCCUUCCCCUUCCUUUUGCCUUUCCUCUUUUUCAGUGAAACAAUAUCACCCCUUUUCUUCCCUUUUCUCCAUUGGCUCUGUUUGUUUAAAGGGAAAAGCCUUUUCCUGAAAAUAGUUUUCCUAUUUUCUACUGUUUGUUUUAGACCGGCCCAUAAAAUGGAAAAUAAGGCUAGAAAGUACUUUUCCAUUGAAGCCCAAAUAUUUUCCCUAAAAAAUCAAGGUAUUCCUGUUUUCCAUCGUCUUCAACUUCAAGCUCGCUGCUCUCUCUCUCUCUCUCUCAUCUUCAAGCUCUGCGUGCUCUCUAUCUCAUCUUCAGCGGCGUGAAGAUCUGCUCUCACAAGUUGUGCUGUACGAGGGGAUUAAACCACAGAAUUGGUUGCAAUGGCAGAAAAUCAGUCUCCAAACUUGCACAUUAUAAUUUUCUUUUUUCAGAUUAGCAUUAGUUAUGGAACCAGAGCGUGGAUUGUCUACCCAAAAAUCAUCUAAGGUAUAACUUUGCCUAAAAACCUCUAUCGUAUUAAUAUACAUCUAAUAAUCUAAGUAUGCUUGACCUUUUGUUUUUUUGAUGGAACUGAUGUAGAUGACUAAUGAUACUAAAGGCAUUGUUAUUGGCGUUGUGGCUGCUUUUAUUGCUUGUUCUCUUGCUUUUCUUAACGAGCGUAGGUCCAAAACAAGAAGGCUAAGAAUAAUUAGGCAACCCUAUAUUAAAUAGAGAUAGUCUGAGGUCGGAGAUUUUUAAUAGUGUUUUGUAUUGUGGUGAUACUCACUGUUUGGGUCAGAUUCGUAUAAGGCCUCAAGCGUGUAAUAUUCUAGUUGAAAGAGGACUUUUGAAAGAAAAUAUUCGAAUAGGUGUUAAAGAACAAGUAAUAAUGAUAUUUUUAUACAUUUUAGGGCAUAAUGUAAGAUUUAGGGCAGCAGGGGGAAGAUUUUUCCGAUCAAUUUGGACCAUACAUCAUUACUUUCAUGUUGUUCUUAAAGCCAUCCUUAAAAUGAACCUAGAUUUUGUUAAACCACAAGCCUCUCCUCUUCCAUCUGAAAUUCAAAACAACCCUAGGUUUUUUCCUUAGUUUGAGGAUUUCAUAGGAGCUAUAGAUGGGACACAUAUACAUGCAUCUGUCCCAAUUGAAAUGCAAGGUCGAUUUCGUGGUAGAAAGGGUGGGACAACCCAAAAUACGUUAGGUGCUGUUGAUUUUGAUAUGAAAUUUACAUAUGUGUUGGCUGGUUGGGAGGGUUCCGCUCAUGACUCAAAGGUCUUGCAAGAUGCACUCAAAAGGAGAUUUAAGGAAAGUAUCAACUUGCCGAUGCGGGGUAUGGUGACCGUAAAGGAUUCAUGCCUCCAUAUAGGCAUAUUCGCUACCACUUGAAAGAGUAUUACCAACAAUCCACCCGAGAAUGAACGUGAAUUAUUUAAUCUUCGACACUCCUCACUAAGAUGGUUGUGGAGAGGGCAUUUGGAGUAUUAAAGAAGCGAUUUUGUGUCUUGGAUGUUGAGCCAUUUUGGCCGUAUGAAACCCAAGUAGAUGUAGUUCUAGCAUGUUGUAUGUCAUAUAACUACCUUAAAGGUGUUGACCCAAAUGACCCGAUUACAAGAGAAGUUGAAGUAGAGAUGACAUCACAAGAUUUACAACACAUGCGAAGCACGUACUCGAGGGAAACAGCGAGAAGAAAACCAACAAAUUGAAAGGAAGAGAAUGGCCAUUGCGGCGAUGUGGAUUGUAUACAAGAAGGCUCGAAUUUGAUGGGCUUAGCAUAUGCAUCUUUAGAUAAUUAGUUCAUUAAUUAUGUAUUUUAUAUUCUAUAACAGUUUAUCUUUUUAAAGAUAACAUUUUCAGUGAUUAUGUAUUUUCAGAGAUUAGUAGUGAUGCUGUAAAUAAGGCAUUUGCUAACUCUCCAAUUGAAGUUGUUGAUAAAACAUCAGAAAGUUAUGGUCCUACCUGAGAUUGUUGAUUCCAUUGGGAUUUGAGUUCUGUGAUGAAUGAUUAAAUUAAUCCACAUGAUGAUACUGAUAAAGAUUUUGCUUA